rnacentral:rRNA from 1 species
GGAUUGCCCCAGUAACGGCGAGUGAAGCGGCAACAGCUCAAAUUUGAAAUCUGGCCCCACUCGAGGCCCGAGUUGUAAUUUGCAGAGGAUGCUUCGGUGUUGGCCCCGGGCCAAGUCCCCUGGAACGGGGCGCCCUAGAGGGUGAGAGCCCCGUACCCACCCGGGUGUCCUUCGCCAUGUGAAGCUCCUUCGAGGAGUCGAGUUGUUUGGGAAUGCAGCUCUAAGCGGGAGGUAUAUUUCUUCUAAAGCUAAAUACCGGCCAGAGACCGAUAGCGCACAAGUAGAGUGAUCGAAAGAUGAAAAGCACUUUGGAAAGAGAGUUAAAAAGCACGUGAAAUUGUUGAAAGGGAAGCUCUUGCCGCCAGACUUGCCGCGGUCGCUCAGCCGCCCCCCCGGGGGCGGUGUACUCUUCCGUAGGCAGGCCAGCGUCGGUUCGGGCGAUCGGAUAAAGGCCCCGGGAAUGUGGCACCCUCCAGGGUGUGUUAUAGCCCGGGGCGCAAUGCGGUCAGCCCGGUCCGAGGCACGCGUUCGCGAGGACGCUGGCGUAAUGGCUGCAAGCGACCCGUCUUGAAACACGGACCAAGGAGUCUAACAUCUGUGCGAGUGUUUGGGUCUGAAACCCACGCGCGUAAUGAAAGUGAACGGAGGUGGGAACCCCCUCGAGGGGCGCACCAUCGACCGAUCCUGAUGUCUUCGGAUGGAUUUGAGUAAGAGCAUAGCUGUUGGGACCCGAAAGAUGGUGAACUAUUCCCGGAUAGGGUGAAGCCAGAGGAAACUCUGGUGGAGGCUCGCAGCGGUUCUGACGUGCAAAUCGAUCGUCAAAUCUAGGAAUAGGGGCGAAAGACUAAUCGAACC